UGAGAUGCUGUUCAGGUGGUCGACCAUC
rnacentral:piRNA from 1 species